rnacentral:misc_RNA from 1 species
UGAUGGCCAUGCAGGUGAGCAACAGUUUUGUGAGGAAAUUCAGACUGGUUAUGGCCAAGAGAAUGUGGGAGAAGUUGAAAAUGCUUCACAAGAUGAUUUAGCUGCAGAUGCUCCUUGGGAAGAUAAGGAAGAGAAAAGUGAGAGCCAUCAGCCCUCUGCAGAUCAAGAUCCUUUGGUUGAGUCACUUGUUACCCUCCAAACGGUGCAGGAAGCCCUUGAAAGUGAGGUUCUAAAGUUUGAGGAAAUUGGGAAAAUUAGCAGCAUUCCAGUAGAUUCCACUUCUACUGACAGGAGAAUCCAUGAGUCAAGUUCAUGUGACCUGUUUGAUUCUGAAAAUAUCAGACAAUCAAGUUCCUUGGAAUCUCAAGUGUUAAGCUUGACAGAGAAUGUAAAAUAUUUGGAAAGCAAAUUAGAGGAGGCAAACGCUAUGCUGACGGUAAAGGAGUCCAGGGUUGUAGAACUCGAAAAUACCUUGAUUAGGGGCAAGUCACCAACAGAAGAAUCAGGAAACGCCAUAAAGUUGCAGCAGGAGAAAUCUAGAGAGAUUGAAUCUGAGCUUGAGAGCCUCUUCAAGCAAAAGAUUGAGGCCGAGGUUGAGUAUUUGAUACUCACAAGGACAAUACAAAAGUUGAGAGUUGUUGCAGGCGAUCAACUCACUUUCUUUGAACAACAAGAAGCCCUGGCUGGUGAGCAAGAACAAAUGCUGAACAAGCUCGGGGAGGCAGAGGGUAAGGCUGUGAUGCUUAGAAAACAAGCAGAGGAUGUGGAAAAAUAUCGGCGAGUUAUUUUAGGGACUGAAGAGGUGUUGAAGGUGCAGCGGAGAAUAUGUAAGGUUACUUCAUGUUUCUUUAUCCAGUUGAGUUUGCUUAUCUUGUUCUUUUGGCUAUUCGUGUUGCAGUUAUUACCCCAUCCUGGGGCUGUUGUACCCACCUAAAGUACUUUAGAAAGAUAGAACCUUUUUGUGCAUUCUCUAUAUUUCUAGGCAAAAAUCUCAAUGCUAAAUUUUUUUGUUACUGUAGAACUUCCCCCUUCCCCCCCCAACCCCCUUUUUUUUUUUCCCCUGGUUGAUGGAGAUUCGACUUGUAACGAAGUUUUCAUCUUAUGAUGCUCUACUCAAAGUAAGUACUAAUACUGAUGAAUUACAAAU